CGGACGGGUGAGUAAGUAUAGUUAAUCUGCCCUUUAGAGAGGAAUACUACUGGAAACGGUAGCUAAUACCUCAUACUCCUUUUACUUAAAUGGUAAUUGGGAAACGUUUUUUCGCUAAGGAUGAGACUAUAUGGUAUCAGGUAGUUGGUGGGGUAGAGCCUACCAAAACCAAAUGACGCCUAGCUGUUUGAAGGAUGUCCAGCCACACUGGAAUGAGACACGGUCCAACUCCUACGGAGCAGCAGUGGAAUAUUGCACAAUGGAGGAAUUUGAUGCAGCAACGCCGCGUGAGAUGACACAUUUCGGUGCGUAACUCCUUUUAUAUGGAAGAUAUGACGGUACCAUAGAAUAAGCACCGGCUAACUCCGUGCCAGCAGCCGCGGUAAACGGAAGUGCAGCGUUACUGGAAUCACUGGGCGUAAGCGCGCGCGGCGGCUAUUAGUUGGAGUAGACCUACGGCUCAACCGUAAACUGCUCCAAACUAUUAGCUAAGUGGGAAGGAAGAGGAAUUGUUGUGUGAGUGAUCCGUAAGAUACUAGAAUCCAAGGCGAAGGCAUCUCUGGACGUUACUGACGCUAGGCGCGAAAGCGGAGACGAACGGGAUUAGAUACCC
rnacentral:rRNA from 1 species